GACGUAGGUGGCGAACGUUAUCCGGAAUUAUUGGGCGUAAAGGAUGCGUAGAUGGUGUAGUAAGUUAUCGGUGGUAAAUCGAGGCUCAACCUCGUGGAAGUCGGUAAUACUGCUAUGCUAGAGGAUAGGAGAGGUUAACGGAACUCCCUGUGGAGCGGUGAAAUGCGUAGAUAUAGGGAAGAACACCAAUAAGGCGAAGGCAGUUAACUAUUCUAUUCCUGACAUUGAGGCAUGAAAGCGUGGGGAGCAAAACGG
rnacentral:rRNA from 1 species